rnacentral:rRNA from 1 species
AAAUUGAAGAGUUUGAUCAUGGCUCAGAUUGAACGCUGGCGGCAGGCCUAACACAUGCAAGUCGAACGGUAACAGGAAGCAGCUUGCUGCUUUGCUGACGAGUGGCGGACGGGUGAGUAAUGUCUGGGAAACUGCCUGAUGGAGGGGGAUAACUACUGGAAACGGUGGCUAAUACCGCAUAACGUCGCAAGACCAAAGAGGGGGACCUUCGGGCCUCUUACCAUCAGAUGUGCCCAGAUGGGAUUAGCUAGUUGGUGAGG